AAGCGUUGUUCGGAUUUAUUGGGCGUAAAGCGCGUGUAGGCGGUUUUUUAAGUCUGAUGUGAAAGCCCUGGGCUCAACCCGGGAAGUGCAUUGGAUACUGGAAGACUUGAAUACGGGAGAGGGCAGUGGAAUUCCUAGUGUAGGAGUGAAAUCCGUAGAUAUUAGGAGGAACACCGGUGGCGAAGGCGGCUGCCUGGACCGAUAUUGACGCUGAGACGCGAAAGCGUGGGUAGCAAACAGGAUUAGAUACCCUGGUAGUCCACGCCGUAAACGAUGAGUACUAGGUGUUGCGGGUAUUGACCCCUGCAGUGCCA
rnacentral:rRNA from 1 species